GAUGAACGCUGGCGGCGUGCUUAACACAUGCAAGUCGAACGAAGCACCUCUCCCGAAGUUGGUCGCAGUUUGCUGUAGGUUGAUUCAUUUGUGGUGACUGAGUGGCCUACGGGUUAGUAAUGCGUGGGUAACCUGCCUCAUAGAUGGGGACAACAGUUCGAAACGACUGCUAAUACCGCAUAGUAAGAAGAAUUCGUAUGUUUUCUUCUUGAAAGAUUUAUUGUUAUGAGAUGGGCCCGCGUCUGAUUAGCUAGUUGGUAAGGUAACGGCUUACCAAGGCGGCGAUCAGGGGCCGGCUGGGGAGGAGGAACGGCCACGAUGGGAACGGGACACAGCCCCAAGUACUACGGGAAGCAGGGGGGGGGAAUAAUGCAGCAUGGGGGAAAGCCUGAUGGAGCCCCGCCGGGUGAGUUAAGAAGUAGUUCGGGAAGUAAAGCUCCAUCAGCAGGGGAGGUAAUGACGGUAGCUGGAGAAGAAGCCCCGGCUAACUACGUG
rnacentral:rRNA from 1 species